rnacentral:tRNA from 1 species
GCGAUAGCUCAGUCGGUAGAGCAAAUGACUGUUAAUCAUUGGCUUUUAACCAAUUGGUCGUAGGUUCGAAUCCUACACGACCCACCA